rnacentral:lncRNA from 1 species
AAUAUACAGUAAAAACUCAAUGUAUGUGUAUGGGAUUUGAAGACAAAUAGUCUUGUAGCUCAACACCCCCCCUCAAGUUGGAGGGGGAAACCACCUUCAACUUGGACAACAAAGGAUGUAGAAUGGUGCCAGGGAGUGGUUUGAUGAGAAGAUCAGCCAGCUGACGAGAGGUAGAAACAUGGGACAGAGUAAUGAGUCCAGCAGCCAAUAAAUCACGCACAAAAUGACAAUCUACUUCGACGAGAGGUAGAAACAUGGGACAGAGAAAUGAGACCAGCAGCCAAUAAAUCACGCACAAAAUGACAAUCCACUUCGAUAUGUUUGGUCCUCUCAUGAAAAACAGUAUUUUUGGCAAUAUGUAUAACAGCCUGACUGUCACAGAAAAUAGAAAAAGGGAGAGACACAGAAAUACAAGGAUCAGUUAGCAAGCGGGAAAGCCAAGACAAUUCAGCAACUACCUUACUGAGAGCCCUAUACUCAGCUUUAGCAGAAGAUAAAGAGACAACAGGCUGUUUCUUAUAUUUCCAACUAAUCAAGCAGCCACCCAAAAGAAUACAAAACCCAGUCACAGACCUGCGAGUAUCUGGACAGGCAGCCCAAUCACUGUCAGAAUAAGCAUGGACAGACAAAUCNNN